GGGGGGAGACCGGAUCCUGGGCUGUGUCCUGGCUCCCAGUGCUCUGUGCCCUGCACUGUUGGAUUCGUGCUCCAGGCCACGCAGCCCCCU
rnacentral:pre_miRNA from 1 species